rnacentral:rRNA from 1 species
UACGGAGGAUGCAAGCGUUAUCCGGAUUUAUUGGGUUUAAAGGGUGCGUAGGCGGAAUAAUAAGUCAGUGGUGAAAUCUUGCGGCUUAACCGUAAAAUUGCCAUUGAUACUGUCAUUCUUGAGUAUAGUUGAAGUGGGCGGAAUGUGUAAUGUAGCGGUGAAAUGCUUAGAUAUUACACAGAACACCAAUUGCGAAGGCAGCUCACUAAGCUGUUACUGACGCUGAGGCACGAAAGCGUGGGGAGCAAACAGG